UUUUACAUGCCAUCAACCAAUAUUAGUCAAUGAGACUUGUCCCACCCAGAAAAAUUUUUAAAUCCGUGACAAGAUUCGUUCUCAUUACCAUCUGUUCUUACCAUCAUCACCCACCCAAACCAUGCCACCCACAGCCUCUUCCUCAGGAUCUGGCUCUUAGGAAGGAGAAAAGUAGGGAAAAUACUUCAUGUGAUUUGAGGGUCUUCUGUGUGCCAAUACAUAGCUGGACACCUUACACACUCAAUUGUAAUGUACAAUUGUAACUACGCAAUUUAUCUCCAUGAGUUCGACAGGCAAGUAUUAUUAUCCCCAUUUUACAGAAAGUAAACCCACUGAGAGCGGUCAAAUAACUAUCCAAGUCACACAGAUGGUUAAUGGUGGAAACAGCGUUAGAACACAGGUCCAUUUGAUUCCAAAAACAAUGCUCUGCUCACCAUAUCUUGCUGUUUCAUCUGACUAACAAAUCCAAAGAUGAUGUCCCAUGAGGAAUAUUGACGUUCCCAUGGAGAACUACUGCCAAACAAACAACACUUAAGACCAAAAUAAAUUUAUCUCAAACGCUGGACUGUCAAGCCUUAAAAUAUGGGAUGAUUUUGGAUGUUAAGAACUCCCAAUACCCUUCAAAGCAUAUCACAUGAAUGACCUCUUUGAUUUAAGGGUAGCCCCACUGACCAGUCCCUAUGGAUACAAACCGACAGUCCACUAAAGUCCAUGUCCUGGGUCUCAGAGAAUGGUUUACUUUCUAACUCUGCAAUGGAAGGAAAGACCUAUUAAUACAGUAAGGCAGAUGUUCACUCAUUCCUUCAGCCAAUAUUUAUUUGAAGCUCACAAAAGCAACAUCCUUGUCUUGUUUGUAUCUGGUAUGUGAUAAGCCCAGAGGAUAGACGACACAGCACUAAACAUGGCGGACAUGUUCCCUGACCUCAUGGAGCUCAGAAGAUAAUGAGCUCCUUAACUUGCCCUUACCCUCCUACACACCACACACACAGACACACACACACACACACACACACACACACACACGGCUACCCGAAGUGGCAAAGAAACUACUUACAUAGCUAUCAUUAAAACCGCUAUAGUAGAAGACUGAAUUGAUGGGGCACAGCUUGGGGGUUUAAAAGUAUGAAGUAACUAAGAAAGUUAAAGCAAUGCUUCCAGAAACUUCUCUCACCUUCUCAGGUGAACAACGAGUGCGCAUUCACACAGAUGCCUCUAAGCAGCUGCACAGGGGCCAGAAGAAGAGGCUCAGACCAUUGUUCUCCCCUCACCUCCAGGUCAAGCGACAUACAUGGCUAGGAGAAAGAGCACUGAGAAGAGCUGACCCUUAGGAAAACUUGGCUUUAAAAUCAGGAAUGUCCGCUUGUUAUUGCCACAGUCUGACUAGGGAAUCUCAGGAGGUGGCAGGGUUUGGGUUCAUUUUAGAACAACAUGUAGAAAGAAUUGACGGGCCACCCACAACCUUAUCUGAACCUGUAAUGUCUACAAAAUUGGGCAACAAAGUUUAAAGAAAGAGCUUUUUCCUUACAGGUUUUUGGUGCCAAGACCCCUUCUGGUCCAAUUGUAACUAAGUAAAUAUAGAAGCCAAGAAAAAUUAAAUGGAAUUUUUGGAACUUGAUCCUGGAUGUGCUGCAAGCUGAGGACAGAAAUAUUUGGACUGUUGAAAGUGGGGUGUCGGCUUGUUUACUUUAGGGUCCUUCCCAUCCUACAGAACUCUGGCCAGUGUUAGAGUCAGACUGGCUUCGAGGCUCCUUGGAAAGAUCAAAGUUCAGCGUGAUCUGUCCAAAUACUUCUCCUUUUACAAUGUAUCAUAUGGAGAAAAUUAGGUGACAGCCCCCUUUUAAGACAGAACCGCUUCAAAAACUCCAUGUACCAGAAAAACUGGUUAGAAAAGUGGAAUUUGAAACCAUGUCAAAGAAACAGAUGCACAAGUACUGAUAAGUGCUCUCUAAGGACCUUUAACUCCAACAUUAGUUGGCUCUCUGAUUGCAAGGAAGCUCUACAAGAUGCCUACAGUUGCCUUUAAUGAUCUUGGAACUUACUCUAUAGUCUCCUCUUCAUGGGAAAAUGGAGUUUUAUGGAGAGAUCAACCUGGGAACUGUUAGAUCCUCUCUAUGCUUGGAAGAUCCUUGUAACCCAUCACAGAGAGCAAUUCAGAGAAGAAAAUUUGCACACUCUACUCCAAAGAGGACUACCCUGUGCCCUGGGUCAUUAUAAUCACCCCCAAAAUGAGAAUAAUAAAAGCAUGUUGUUAUUGAGAACUCAUAAUGGGUCAGAUAUGGAGCCCAGCAUUUUAUACAUAUUAACCCGUUUAAUUUCCACAACAGUCCUAUGAAAUUGGAACUAAUAUCAAUCUCAUUUUACAGGUUAGGAAACUAAGGCUCAAAGAGGUUAAGGGACUUGUCCAAAAUCAUGUUGCUGCUAAUAGCAGAAGCCGACUUCAACGUCAGUGCUUUUAACCACUAUGCUGUUAAAAAUGGAGACCAAUAUGAAGACCCUGUUGAGAUCUGAAGACCCAUCAGAGUAAAAGUAGUGAACUGCAUUGUCUAGCACACAGUAGCUACUCAAUAAAAACAGGAAUCUAGAGGGAUGCCUCAGAGAGAAUUCAGAAUAGGCUGGCCACACACUGAGUUAUUAAGGAGCAGUGGCUUUUAGGGACAGAGGAGGAACAUACUGAAUAGCUCUCCAAAGCAAUGAUGAAACCAGGUCAAUGACUACUGGCAGAGUGAGAGAAAGAUAAACAAGCAGGUCCCAAUAGACAGGCUGAGGGGCGCAUGUCACAAGGGGAACUGCCAGAAAUCCAUACCACGUUCCAAGAGUCUGUCUGCAUUGCUUAAUGGUUCUAGGACUAUGUGAAUGGAUCUCAUAUACUGCUGAAUUCCUGGUAUAAAGCUUUAAAAGGGUCAGUUCUGGGUCAAGUGAGCUGAGAGAAAGCUCUGCCUCCAACUUCUGAGGUCAGUUCUCCUUCAUAUUUGUGCCUGUUCCUCAUGGAAGGGAAGAAGGAAAGAGAUACCCGCUGACAUUUCAAUAUUUUCCCCUAGAACAUUUGACUAAGUCUUCCCCAGAUUCCUCUUCCCUAUGGACCUGUAGCCUUUGUAUUCUAGCCCAGUAUCUCCAGAAUCCUAACCUUUCCUUCCACUCCUUUGUCCACAUGGCUUGUUUCUUUUGAAAAACCUUCACAUCUCCCUAAACAAGAAUGGUUGCCCGCCAGCAACAAGGAAGCGUUGCUGUCCCUCAAAAAGGGUCUGGAAAGGCUGGUCUAUGGGACAGAAAGAAAAUCUGUCCUGUGAUGAAGACAUGUGAGGGCAGACACCAACCAAGAGCCAAGGGCAGGCACACUGCCUCCCAUGAGGAGGGAGGGGAGGGAGGAAAAAGGAAAGGAAGGGAGGGAGGGAGGGAGGGAGAAAGGGCAGGAAAGGAAGGAGGAAGGGAGGAAAGACACAGGGAGAGAGGAAAGGAGGGAGGGAGGUAGGGAAGGAAGGGACUUCCCUUCCCUGGGGAGGAUUACCUUGAUGGAUAGUUACAUCUGAUAUGAGGAUUUGGAGACCUCAGACCAUACUCAGGGCCUGCCAGUAGCCUUUGAAAAGUUUUUCUAUAGAAUGAGUCAAUAAUACAUUCUAUUAAUGACCUUGAUGGAUAUUUACAUCUGAUAUGAGGAUUUGGAGACCUCAGACCAUACUCAGGGCCUGCCAGUAGCCUUUGAAAAGUUUUUCUUAUAAAAUGAGUCAAUAAUACAUUCUAUUAAUGACCUUGAUGGACAUUCUGUGCUGUUUUGUUUUUUCAGCCCUAAGUCCCUUAAAAAUGUUCUGCUGAGUGGUCCUGAUAUCCAUCCCACUUUAUCUCUCUCCACUCCCAAGGGGGAUCCUCUACCCCAGUGAAGUCACCUUGUCUGAUCUUAUUACUGUCUUAUCUCACUGUCUUUUGUUAGAAUUAUGUAUCAGUCUGUCUCUCAAACUACAAUAUAAACCUAAAGACUAAUGUACUAGAUUUCCUAUUUGUCCCUCCAGGUCCACUUUCCACCUUCUCCAUCCUGCCCUUGGGAGGAUGAACUCUUCCGUUCCCCACCAACCCACCUUGGGUCCCUUGCACCUGUGGCUGCUGGUGGGUGUGACCAAUGGGAGGUGCAGAUGAAAGAUUGGAGGAUGAUAAGAGAGUCCAGGUAUUUAUUCCCUCCUGCCAGGCUGUGCUUUAAGCAGUGGUUGUGUUCUUCUACUAAAUGCCAUAGCUCCUAUCCGAUGUCCCCUCUCCAACAGCCACAGUGCAGAUCUGGUAGCCACUCCUUCCCUGUGCCCGUUCAGGCUGAGAGAUGUAAGGAUUUCCCCGUUGUUAAUCCCUGCAUACUGCACCAUCCCUUCCUGGUUCUCAGACUUAACCCACAGCUUUGUAAAGUGUCCACUCAUUAAAUCCCCUGUCAUGUAUUUAUUCAUUAUGGAUUAUUCACUUAGUGUGAAGCUGACACCGUGCUAGGCACACGCCAGUUUCAUGGUGGACAUGAGCCCUGUGUCACUUCUCCCUCCUUCCUGCUAGGGCCCUGGAACCCCAGCCCCAGCCCUAGAGAGGCGCCUCCUACCCAAUUCUUUUCCCUUUGCUAAUUCUACUGAAGGUGAUUGAUAUAUCUUUGGGUUUAGGCUUAGAAAUCUCUCUUACAAUGUAAAUAUGGCUUGUAGAAGAAGUACAUUCUUAUCUUGCUCAUUAUGGAAGUGAAUGAGCUUAUCAAACUUGUUGGAAAGAGCGGGUAAAUAUAGCAUAUUUUGAGAGCCUGCCAUUUACUUGCCAUUAUUGAAGUGUUACUGCUUCUGUGAAUCCCUCAAGACAGUGCAGUAGAUGUUGCUUUAGGUUCUGAAGAGGGAGGGGAAGCUUGGUCAUGGCAGUACUAAGGAGGGCGCUGAGGGUGAUGAGUGCAGGGCUGUGCAGACAGGAGAGUAAGUGGAGGGGAUUGUGCCCAAAGAUAGGGAAAGACCCUGAAAGGAAACUGGAUUCAUUCACAUAUUUGUGCAGGGCUGGUCUGGCCCACCCACUUCCUUCCUCCUCCUCCUCCUCCCUGCCUGCCAUUACUUCUCUACAUGAACCACUACUUCCUCCUCUUCUUUUCCUGCUGUUUUUACUCAUAUAUGUACAGUUCAGGUUACACAGGAAGCCC
rnacentral:lncRNA from 10 species